rnacentral:rRNA from 1 species
GGGGGAUAUUGCACAAUGGGGGAAACCCUGAUGCAGCGACGCCGCGUGAGGGAAGACGGUCCUCUGGAUUGUAAACCUCUGUCUUCGGGGACGAAACGAGACGGUACCCGAGGAGGAAGCCACGGCUAACUACGUGCCAGCAGCCGCGGUAAUACGUAGGUGGCAAGCGUUGUCCGGAAUUACUGGGUGUAAAGGGAGCGUAGGCGGGCAGGCAAGUCAGGCGUGAAAUAUAUCGGCUCAACCGGUAACGGCGCUUGAAACUGCAGGUCUUGAGUGAAGUAGAGGUUGGCGGAAUUCCUAGUGUAGCGGUGAAAUGCGUAGAUAUUAGGAGGAACACCAGUGGCGAAGGCGGCCAACUGGGCUUUUACUGACGCUGAGGCUCGAAAGUGUGGGGAGCAAACAGGAUUAGAUACCCUGGUAGUCCACACCGUAAACGAUGAUUACUAGGUGUGGGGGGACUGACCCCUUCCGUGCCGGAGUUAACACAAUAAGUAAUCCACCUGGGGAGUACGGCCGCAAGGUUGAAACUCAAAGGAAUUGACGGGGGCCCGCACAAGCAGUGGAGUAUGUGGUUUAAUUCGACGCAACGCGAAGAACCUUACCAGGUCUUGACAUCGUAUGCAUAAUGUAGAGAUACACGAAGUCCUUCGGGACAUACAGACAGGUGGUGCAUGGUUGUCGUCAGCUCGUGUCGUGAGAUGUUGGGUUAAGUCCCGCAACGAGCGCAACCCUUGUAUUUAGUUGCUACGCAAGAGCACUCUAGAUAGACUGCCGUGGACAACACGGAGGAAGGUGGGGAUGACGUCAAAUCAUCAUGCCCCUUAUGACCUGGGCUACACACGUACUACAAUGGCAAUAGAACAGAGGGAAGCGACUCAGCGAUGAGAAGCAGAUCCCGAAAAAUUGUCUCAGUUCGGAUUGCAGGCUGCAACCCGCCUGCAUGAAGUCGGAAUUGCUAGUAAUCGCGGAUCAGCAUGCCGCGGUGAAUACGUUCCCG